UACGUAGGGCGCAAGCGUUGUCCGGAAUUAUUGGGCGUAAAGAGCGUGUAGGCGGCCAGAUAGGUCUGCUGUGAAAACUCGAGGCUCAACCUCGAGAUGUCGGCGGAAACCAUUUGGCUAGAGUCCGGAAGAGGAAAGUGGAAUUCCUGGUGUAGCGGUGAAAUGCGCAGAUAUCAGGAAGAACACCCGUGGCGAAGGCGGCUUUCUGGACGGUACUGACGCUGAGACGCGAAAGCGUGGGGAGCGAACAGG
rnacentral:rRNA from 1 species